rfam:Gordonia terrae NBRC 100016 DNA, contig: GOTRE145.
GGCUUCGGGUGGCACGAGGCCUCGGCCCGGUCGCGACCCUGGCGUACUUCCCCAACGCCAGGUGCGUGAUCGGGUCGGGACCCCGCUCCAUCCGACCGCCUGC